GUUACAACCACCACGUUGUCAAAGGCUGCUAUUGCUGAGCCAUCAUAUGAUGAAGCUGCUCCAACAAGUAAUCCACCUCCAUGGAUCCAUACUAAGACCUGGGAAGAGAAAAACGGGAUCAACCCAGCACAGACUUAUCUGCAAGUAUUCUUCAUUUAGGUUGUAAGAUGGCCAUUCAACCAGACCCUCUCCAUUAGGAUUUCUGUAAGCAAGAGGAAAGAAGAGUGAGUGCCCUUUUCAGUCACAGGGGAAUUCAAUCACACAAGUUAAGACUGAAUCAAUAAACCAGUCAAUUCCCCUGGAGUCAGUGAAAAGCAGCAAUAUCUGUCAUGAAUUUCAUGAUUCGUACCCAUUUCGAGCAAAGUUAGCCCAGUACUUCAUUAGAGUUCUGCUGAGGGUCUUCUCUUCCUCUGUAACUUCACCUGAAAGACAAAAUACAGAAUAGUUACUCUGUGUGGCAGAAAUCAAGACAUUGCUGCUACAGCAGCAGCAUUUCCCUGUGUGAA